rnacentral:rRNA from 1 species
UUCCCCCUUAUAGUUUGAUCCUGGCUCAGGACGAACGCUGGCGGCGUGCUUAACACAUGCAAGUCGAACGGAGUUAUUUGGAAAGCUUGCUUUUUGAAUAACUUAGUGGCGGACGGGUGAGUAACGCGUGAGUAUCUGUCUCACACAGGGGAAUAACGCACCGAAAGGUGUGCUAAUACCGCAUGAGACCACAGAGGGGCAUCCCUUAGGGGUCAAAGAUUUAUCGGUGUGAGGUGAGCUCGCGUCCCAUUAGAUAGUUGGUGAGGUAACGGCCCACCAAGUCGACGAUGGGUAGCCGACCUGAGAGGGUGAUCGGCCACAUUGGAACUGAGAUACGGUCCAAACUCCUACGGGAGGCAGCAGUGGGGAAUAUUGGGCAAUGGGCGGAAGCCUGACCCAGCAACGCCGCGUGAGGGAAGAAGGUUUUCGGAUUGUAAACCUCUGUCCUCGGGGAAAAGAAGAAGAUGGUACCCGGGGAGGAAGCUCCGGCUAACUACGUGCCAGCAGCCGCGGUAAUACGUAGGGAGCGAGCGUUGUCCGGAAUGAUUGGGCGUAAAGGGCGCGUAGGCGGCCUGUUAAGUCUGGAGUGAAAGUCCUGCUUUUAAGGUGGGAAUUGCUUUGGAUACUGAUGGGCUUGAGUGCGGGAGAGGUUAUCGGAAUUCCCAGUGUAGCGGUGAAAUGCGUAAAGAUUGAGAAGAACACCAGUGGCGAAGGCGGGUAACUGGACCGCAACUGACGCUGAGGCGCGAAAGUGUGGGGAGCAAACAGGAUUAAAUACCCCUGGUAGUCCACACUGUCAACGAUGAAUGGGGGGUGUGGGGGGUACCCACCCCUUUCUGUGCCGCAGUAGACACAAUAAGCAUUCCACCUGGGGAGUACGGCCGCAAGGUUGAAACUCAAAGGAAUUGACGGGGGCCCGCACAAGCAGCGGAGCAUGUGGUUUAAUUUGACGCAACGCGAAGAACCUUACCAGGUCUUGACAUCCAAUUAAAGCAGUAGAGAUAUUGUGUGCCCUUCGGGGCGAAUUGAGACAGGUGGUGCAUGGUUGUCGUCAGCUCGUGUCGUGAGAUGUUGGGUUAAGUCCCGCAACGAGCGCAACCCUUACGGAUAGUUACUAACACGCAAAGGUGAGGACUCUAUCAGGACUGCCGGGGACAACUCGGAGGAAGGUGGGGACGACGUCAAAUCAUCAUGCCCCUUAUGACCUGGGCUACACACGUGCUACAAUGGCCGUAACAAAGAGGAGCAAGCCCGCAAGGGUAAGCAGAUCUCAAAAAAGCGGUCUCAGUUCGGAUUGUGGGCUGCAACCCGCCCACAUGAAGUCGGAGUUGCUAGUAAUCGCAGAUCAGCAUGCUGCGGUGAAUACGUUCCCGGGCCUUGCACUCACCGCCCGUCA